rnacentral:rRNA from 1 species
AUACGUAGGGGGCGAGCGUUAUCCGGAUUUAUUGGGUUUAAAGGGUGCGUAGGCUGUGCGUUAAGUCAGGGGUGAAAUGCCGUCGCUCAACGACGGAGCUGCCCUUGAUACUGGCGUGCUGGAGUACGGAUGCCGUUGGAGGAAUGAGUGGUGUAGCGGUGAAAUGCUUAGAUAUCACUCAGAACACCGAUUGCGAAGGCAUCUGACGAAUCCGUCACUGACGCUGAGGCACGAAAGCGUGGGGAUAGAACAGGAUUAGAUACCCUGGUAUUCCACGCCGUAAACGAUGAUGACUAACCGUCGGCGAUAGACAGCCGGUGGCCAAGCGAAAGCGAUAAGUCAUCCACCUGGGGAGUACGUCGGCAACGAUGAAACUCAAAGGAAUUGGCGGGG